UACGGGGGGAGCAAGCGUUGUUCGGAUUUACUGGGCGUAAAGGGCGCGUAGGCGGCACCGCAAGUCGACUGUGAAAUCUCCGGGCUUAACCCGGAAAGGUCAGCCGAUACUGCGGGGCUAGAGUGCAGAAGGGGCAACUGGAAUUCUCGGUGUAGCGGUGAAAUGCGUAGAUAUCGAGAGGAACACCUGCGGCGAAGGCGGGUUGCUGGGCUGACACUGACGCUGAUGCGCGAAAGCGUGGGGAGCGAUCCGG
rnacentral:rRNA from 1 species